AUGGCAAGCUCAAAGGUGAGCUACGGUCAAACAACUGGACAAAGAUGUGGAUCGUUUAUUUUUUGGGGCUUGUGCUAGCGUAAGCUAUCGAAGCCAUCAUCUGGUGCUGUGUACAGCAAGCACAUGCUUCGGGCAAGGAGGGAGCCAGCACCAUAUCUACAUCAGCAAGAACCUCGGUGCUCAAAAUAAAAAUUUUCUGUGCAAA
rnacentral:lncRNA from 1 species